CAGUCGCCGCGGUAAUACAGAGGGUGCAAGCGUUAAUCGGAAUUACUGGGCGUAAAGGGCGCGUAGGUGGUUGUGUAAGUGAGAUGUGAAAUCCCCGGGCUCAACCUGGGAACUGCGUCUUAUACUGCAUAGCUUGAGUACAAUAGAGGGUAGUGGAAUUUCCGGUGUAGCGGUGAAAUGCGUAGAUAUCGGAAGGAACACCAGUGGCGAAGGCGGCUACCUGGAUUGAUACUGACACUGAGGCGCGAGAGCGUGGGGAGCAAACAGGAUUAGAUACCCCAGUAGUCCCUGUCUCUUAUAC
rnacentral:rRNA from 1 species